GCAAUUGGCGGCUUUGAAGGAGCGGCGGGCGGGAACAGCUGCUGAGGAGUGAGGCCACUGGCGAUGUGCACGUGCCAAAGAAAUGGAUGAAAUUGUUGCCGAGUUUAUCAAGAGGACCAUCUUGAAAAUCCCCAUGACUGAAAUGAUGACAACUCUAAAAGCCUGGGAUUUUUUAUCUGAAAAUCAACUACAGAGCAUAAACUUCCGGAAGAGAAAGGAAUCGCUUGUUCAUGACUUGGUUCUACUUUGUGAGGAGAAGAAUGCAAGUGUCAGUGACGCUGCCCUUCUAGACAUCAUUUAUACUCAAUUUCAUCGGCACCAGAAAGUUUGGGAUGUUUUUCAGAUGACUAAAGAACCAGGUGAAGACAUUGACCUUUUUGAUAUGAAACAAUUCAAAACUUCAUUUAAGAAAAUUCUUCAGAGAGCAUUAAAAAAUGUAUCAGUCACCUUCAGAGAUGCUGAGGAGAAUGCAGUAUGGAUUCGAAUUGCCUGGGGAACACAGUAUAAAAAGCCAAACCAGUACAAACCUACGUACGUGGUGUAUUAUUCCCAGACUCCAUAUGCCUUCAUUUCUUCCUCCCGGCUGAGGAGCAGCAUUCCCCUUCUGGGUCAGGCACUGACAAUUGCUAGCAAAUACCAUCGGAUUGUGAAAAUGGACUUCAGAAGCCGAUAUCUGGACUCUCUUAAGGCUAUUGUUUUUAAACAGUAUAAUCAGACUUUUGAAAGUCAUAACGCUACUACACCUCUACAAGAAAGAAGCUUUGGGCUGGAUAUAAAUAUGGAUUCAAGAAUCAUUCAUGAAAACAGAAUAGAAAAAGACAGAGUCCAAAGAGUGACUCAAGAAAUUUUUGGAGACUAUCCUCAACCAAGACUAGAAUUUGCACAAUAUAAGCUUGAAACGAAAUUCAAAAGUGACUUAAAUGGGGGCAUUUUGGCAGAAAGAAAAGAACCCCUCCGAUGCCUAGUAAAAUUCUCUAGCCCGAAUCUUCUGGAAGCAUUGAAAUUCUUAGCACCAGCAGGGUACUCAAAAAGUGAAGAGAAGAGAAGAGAGCAAAAGGAAAUAUGACUACUGAAGAAAUUGGAGUGAUAUGAGACUCGGCUCACCAUUACUGACUUCGAGAAGCUGGAACAGGAUACCCUGCCCCUAACCAAAUAUUCCUUAACAUAAAUGAUUAACAAACCCUUC